rnacentral:rRNA from 1 species
GACGAACGCUGGCGGCGUGCUUAACACAUGCAAGUCGAACGGAAAGGCCCUGCGUUUGUGGGGUGCUCGAGUGGGGAACGGGGGAGGAACACGAGAGUAACCUGCCCUUGACUUUGGGAGAACUUCAGGAAACUGGGGCUAAUACCGGAUAGGAGCUCCUGCUGCAUGGUGGGGGUUGGAAAGUUUCGGCGGUUGGGGAUGGACUAGCGGCCUAUCAGCUUGUUGGUGGGGUAGUGGCUUACCAAGGCUUUGACGGGUAGGCGGCCUGAGAGGGUGACCGGCCACAUUGCGACUGCGAUACGGCCCAGACUCCUACGGGAGGCAGCAGUGGGGAAUAUUGCACAAUGGGCGGAAGCCUGAUGCAGCAACGCCGCGUGCGGGAUGACGGCCUUCGGGUUGUAAACCGCUUUCGCCUGUGACGAAGCGGGAGUGACGGUAAUGGGUAAAGAAGCACCGGCUAACUACGUG